rnacentral:rRNA from 1 species
GCCUGGUAGCGGGGGAUAACUAUUGGAAACGAUAGCUAAUACCGCAUAAGAGUAGAUGUUGCAUGACAUUUGCUUAAAAGGUGCAAUUGCAUCACUACCAGAUGGACCUGCGUUGUAUUAGCUAGUUGGUGAGGUAACGGCUCACCAAGGCGACGAUACAUAGCCGACCUGAGAGGGUGAUCGGCCACACUGGGACUGAGACACGGCCCAG